rnacentral:rRNA from 1 species
UACGAAGGGGCUAGCGUUGUUCGGAAUUACUGGGCGUAAAGCGCGCGCAGGCGGUCUUCCAAGUCAGUGGUGAAAGCCCGGAGCUCAACUCCGGAACUGCCAUUGAAACUGUUGGACUUGAGUACGAGAGAGGUGAGUGGAAUUCCCAGUGUAGAGGUGAAAUUCGUAGAUAUUGGGAAGAACACCGGUGGCGAAGGCGGCUCACUGGCUCGUAACUGACGCUCAGGCGCGACAGCGUGGGAUCGAAACAGG